rnacentral:tRNA from 1 species
UUCAUUUUAGCAAAUUUGUGCGUUAAUUUUAGGAAUUAAAGAAACAUAGUUAUAAUUAUGUAAAUGAAA